rnacentral:misc_RNA from 1 species
UUGAUUUAUUUUCUUUGUUUUUAUCAGACUUCAAAUUGUAAAGAGUUGGUUCUUCGGCGGACACAAAUCCGCACAGGGCCGAUGUCCAGACCCUAUUGCUAAGGUCAAGACGGCCCGCCGAAGCUGCUUUUCAGCGAAAAUACACAAGGGUGGGAGUUUUCGGGGUUAACCGAAAAAACUCGAUAAUGAUCCUUCCGCAGGUUCACCUACGGAAA